rnacentral:snRNA from 1 species
AUACUCACAUAGCACAUGAUCAGGAAGGUGGUUUUCCAGGGCAAAGCUUAUCUAUUGCAGUCUGGAUGUGCUGCCCCUGUGAUUUCCCCAAAUGUGGGAAAUUUAACUGCAUAAUUUGUGAUAAUAUGGUAAUGGGGGAUUGAGUUCUACCUUU